rnacentral:SRP_RNA from 1 species
CCGUGCUAGAUGGGGAGGUAGCGGUGCCCUGUAACUCGCAGUCCGCUCUAGCGAGAUUGAAUUCCUGUUUGAGGUUUUGUGAUGCAGGUUCCAUUAGAAUUAUGCCGUGUUGACGGUAGAGUCCUUCGCGAGGGGCGGCUAUGAACCCGGUCAGGUCCGGAAGGAAGCAGCCAUAAGUAGUUUAGCUCUUGUGCUGAAGGGUAGCUUUGCCUGAGCGUCAUCUUUCUAUUUGGCUGGAUCAUAAUAAUCGAGGGCAGGUGCACGG